GUAGGCAAGCCGAGAGAGAUCUUGCUUUUGAAGAACUAGGCCUGAUAGCCAGUGGACCUGGUAUCGUCCCAGGGUUUCUGGACUCUCACAAGCUCACAGUUCAUGGUUAAGUUCUCUGAGAAAGGAUUUCCACCUCGGCAUAGGCCCAACCCUCUCCCCAUCCCUCUAGCUAAGGACCAGAGUGUCCGCAGGGCGGCGCCCCGCGCCAGGAUUUGGUUCCUUUUACCUCCGGGUGCCUCUGUUCUGCGCCUUCCAGCCUUUCUUCUCCCUGGCUUGCUUCGCUUUCUGAGGUGAGGGUACCUAUUUCUUUUGUCAUUUUGCACAGAAAAUGUAAACGUUUCCUACUCUAAAAAGGUCAUCUUUAAAAUUUUCUUAUAAAAACAAUAAGAUAUUCCUACAAUUUUUCUCUCUCUAAAUGCUAUUACUGCGGUAUAAAAACAAAAAAGGAACAAGUUCCUCAAGGAUUUCAUUUUCACGGAUGCAACUGUAAUUAUUCAUGUUACCAGAAGAUGGCAGUACACCAUUAAUAACAGUGGCGCAUCCCUUAGAACAAAAUGGCUUGUUCAAUUUUUUGGAGCUUGGUAGACCUAGGUACUAAACAAAUGUUAGUGGAUCUGUUGCUAAGUGCAAGGUUAUUCUGGGUUGCGUUAGUUAAUACAAGAGACAAAAGCUGCUGUGAUGGAGAGUGCUAAACUAAACUUGCAAGCACAAUUAAGAAGAGAGAAUUGUCCCAGUCUUGUCUUUUAAAAUUUCAUCUCACCCCUCCUCAUUCAUUGAAAGUCACAUUUCUGAGAGAAAACAUUAUAGCAAAAGGAAGGAAGGAAAACAAAAUACAACAAAAUUCUCUUAUAAAUGAGGAUACUUUAAAAAGGCAAAGUGAUUUGCCCAAACACACUGGUAAUGAUUAGCUCCAGGUCUGUUGACCAACAUUUUCUCUAUCCAUGGUACCACACUGAUUCUCGAAAUGACAAAUUCAGGGAUUAAGAAUUCCAGUCCUUGCCCCAUCACUGACCGUUUGUGAUCUCUUAAGCAAAUUAUUUAAUUACUUUUAUGUAAAAAGUAAGGCACUGGACUAUGUCAGUUCAAGCAUUUUUACCAAGAGAAUUUUUUUUUCUUUUUUUCAUUUUAAGACUCCUAUUCAGAAGUUCAAAACCUAAAAUAAAAGAAAAUGCUAGAGUUGAAAGAGAUGUUUUCCUCUUGAGUUUACUCCUUUCUCCCCCAGAAUCUUAGGCUUCCUCAGAGCACAGUUUGUAAACUAUCAGACUGGGUGAUCUUGUAAAUACCUUUCAGCUCUAAAGAUUAAUUAUCCCUCAAGUUCAUUGAAUUAAUUGUGAGAUAGCAAUAAAAUACCCUCAAAAGUUAUUACUGUUUGAUAAAAAACAAAAGCAACAACAACAAAAAGCUAAAUCCUGAAGAUGAUGACAAACUGGUAUUUGUUAUCUGUUAAGAACAAAGAGAAACUGACUUUUAAAGCACUUUCAAUAUUUUUCAACACGAUGCCUCUGAAUAAUGACAUUAUCUUCAUGUUUUACAGGGUCCUUAAACAUGCUUGGCCAGGUUUCCGCUGUGAACAUCCUCUGGCACAUGCUCUCAGAAAUCAGAAGGUUGCCUGUGGAGAACACUGUGGCUCCCUUGCAUUUAGGCAACAGACUUUUGGCUGUAGAUUCCUGCAAAUAUCUCCAGGCUGGGCUCCUCAUCGGUCCUCCACCUUUCAAUCCAUCCUCCACACAACGGACUGAAUGACCUUUAAAAUAUAUGUCAGAUGACAUUGCUGCAUGUUUAAACCUUUCAAUGACUCUUUCUUGCACUUCCAAGAAAAUUCACAUUCCUUACACUGACCUACAGGCACUGCAUGAUCUUCCUUAUCCACUAUCUGACUUUAAUUGGCAUUCGCGGACCAUAUUCCAGCUGCACAGGCCUUCGGACAGUUCCGGGAAUAGCCCAAACCUUUUCUAGUCUUUAGAACUCUUGUGUGUACUUUUUUUCCCUUUCCCAGAACACACUGGCAUUUCCUAAAGUCUCAGCUAAAAUAUUUCUCCUCAGAGGGGUCUUCUCUGGCCACCCUAUCUAAAGUAUCAACAAUAAAGUACACCUUAUUCUUUCGCACAGGGCUUGGAAAUGUUUGACCUGUAGGCCAAACUGGCCCACCAUGUUGUUUUUAUAAAUAAAAUUUUAUUGGAAAGCAGCCAUUUUUAUUCAUUUAAGUAUUAACCAUGACUGUUCUGGUGUCACAGUGGCCAGGUUGAAUAGUUGCAAAGCCUUUUAUCUGGCCCUUUAUAGAAAAAGUUUAUCAAUCUCUGAUCUAUAAAGUAAACAUGCACUCCCAUCAGCAUCUCUUCAUUUCUGUAUAUUCUCCAGUACCUUCAGGUAGUUGCUUUUUAAAUUAUGUUUAAGUUUUAUAGUUAUUUUCUUCAGAGUAAGUCAUCCUGUGGAAUCUUUUUUCCAUUAUACCCAGAAGCCGAUUCUAGUUAUUUAAAAAAUUCUGUUCAAUAGUUCCAAUAUCUGAAACAUCUCUGAGUCUUGUUCUAUAGUUGAUUCAUCUCUUGAAAAUGGGUCAUUUUCUCCUAUUUUUAACUUUAUAUAUCUUAUAUUUUGUAUUGAAUGUCUAAUAUUAUGUGUAGAAGAAUGAUGAAAACUGAGGUAAAUAGUAUUUAUAUGUAGUAAUAGGCACCAGUUAACAUUACUGAUUGUUACUGUGGUAACAAUGGUUACCACAUUUCUGUCUGCACAAUAGUAUGGCAGGUUGUGUCACUGUAGUCAAUAGUUAUGCAGAGUUUGGUAUUUUAUGUUGCUUUUAUAACCUGUAUACCACAGUCUUCAAAAUCCUUGACAGGAUAUUUCUGUUGCCUUGUGUCGUGUGAGCAUCUCGUGGAGGCCUGUGGAAACAAGCCUGCACAUAAGUGUGAGCUUACCUUGCAUGGGCUUAUGGUUAUUUUAAGUUGAUAUGCUAGCUCACACUUGGCUUUUAGUAUGUUUUCUCAUUUUUAGCUGACUUUCUCUUAGUUUAUUUAAUGGCAACCGCCUUUCUCUCAUGUUCUGUCAAAACUGAAAUAGUCCUUGGACCCCAUCUCUCCU